rnacentral:rRNA from 1 species
GCGGCGGACGGGUGAGUAAUGCCUAGGAAUCUGCCUGGUAGUGGGGGAUAACGUCCGGAAACGGGCGCUAAUACCGCAUACGUCCUGAGGGAGAAAGUGGGGGAUCUUCGGACCUCACGCUAUCAGAUGAGCCUAGGUCGGAUUAGCUAGUUGGUGGGGUAAAGGCCUACCAAGGCGACGAUCCGUAACUGGUCUGAGAGGAUGAUCAGUCACACUGGAACUGAGACACGGUCCAGACUCCUACGGGAGGCAGCAGUGGGGAAUAUUGGACAAUGGGCGAAAGCCUGAUCCAGCCAUGCCGCGUGUGUGAAGAAGGUCUUCGGAUUGUAAAGCACUUUAAGUUGGGAGGAAGGGCAGUAAGUUAAUACCUUGCUGUUUUGACGUUACCAACAGAAUAAGCACCGGCUAACUUCGUGCCAGCAGCCGCGGUAAUACGAAGGGUGCAAGCGUUAAUCGGAAUUACUGGGCGUAAAGCGCGCGUAGGUGGUUCAGCAAGUUGGAUGUGAAAUCCCCGGGCUCAACCUGGGAACUGCAUCCAAAACUACUGAGCUAGAGUACGGUAGAGGGUGGUGGAAUUUCCUGUGUAGCGGUGAAAUGCGUAGAUAUAGGAAGGAACACCAGUGGCGAAGGCGACCACCUGGACUGAUACUGACACUGAGGUGCGAAAGCGUGGGGAGCAAACAGGAUUAGAUACCCUGGUAGUCCACGCCGUAAACGAUGUCGACUAGCCGUUGGGAUCCUUGAGAUCUUAGUGGCGCAGCUAACGCGAUAAGUCCACCGCCUGGGGAGUACGGCCGCAGGUUAAACUCAAAUGAUUGACGGGGGCCCGCACAAGCCGUGAGCAUGUUGUUUUAUUCGAAGCACGCGAGAACCUUACCUGUCCUUGACAUGCGAGGACUUUACAAGAGAAGGUUGGGCCUUCGGGUCGCAGAAACACAGGUCUUGAUGCGGUAGUCUACUUC